rnacentral:tRNA from 1 species
GCAUCGGUGGUUUAGUGGUAAAAUUAGCCGUUGCCAUUCAAUUGAAUCAAUUCGGCUAGCCCCGGGUUCGAUUCCCGGCCGAUGCA